rnacentral:rRNA from 1 species
CUACGGGGUGCACCAGUAACGAAUAUUGGGCAAUGAUCGAAAGAUUGACCCAGCGACGCCGCGUGUAGGAUGAAGCCCCUCGGGGUGUAAACUACUGUCAAGAGGAAGUAAGCUGCUUGCAGUUGAACUACUCUAAAGGAAGUCACGGCUAACUUCGUGCCAGCAGCCGCGGUAAUACGAAGGUGGCAAGCGUUGUUCGGAAUCACUGGGCUUAAAGCGUACGCAGGCGGUUUAUUAAGCAUUCUUUGAAAUCCCUCGGCUCAACCGAGGAAUUGGGGAGUGAACUGGUAAACUUGAGGCAUAUAGGGGCGGGUGGAACUCUUCGUGGAGCGGUGGAAUGCGUAGAUAUGAAGAGGAACGCCAGAGGUGAAAACGACCCGCUGGAUAUGUCCUGACGCUGAGGUACGAAAGCAUGGGUAGCGAACGGGAUUAGAUACCCUUGUAGUC